rnacentral:rRNA from 1 species
GACGAACGCUGGCGGCGUGCUUAACACAUGCAAGUCGAGCGGAAAGGCCACUUCGGUGGUACUCGAGCGGCGAACGGGUGAGUAACACGUGAGUAAUCUGCCCCUGGCUUUGGGAUAGCCACCGGAAACGGUGAUUAAUACCGGAUACGACCACUUCUCGCAUGGGAUGGUGGUGGAAAGUUUUUUCGGCCAGGGAUGUGCUCGCGGCCUAUCAGCUUGAUGGUGAGGUAAUGGCUCACCAUGGCUUCGACGGGUAGCCGGCCUGAGAGGGUGACCGGUCACACUGGGACUGAGACACGGCCGAGACUCCUACGGGAGGCAGCAGUGGGGAAUAUUGGACAAUGGGUGGAAGCCUGAUCCAGCAACGCCGCGUGAGGGAUGACGGCCUUCGGGUUGUAAACCUCUUUCAGCAGGGACGAAGCGCAAGUGACGGUACCUGCAGAAGAAGCACCGGCCAACUACGUGCCAGCAGCCGCGGUAA